rnacentral:lncRNA from 1 species
AUGUUAUUUCUCAACAGCCGCCUGAACCCAUUUGGUCUCAUAAUUGCUCUAAACAAACAGGGUGAAGCUUCUGGGUCCCUUUUCUGGGACGAUGGUGAUUCUAUUGGCUCGAUUGAAAAUGGAGAUUACUUCUUCGCCCAAUAUAAAUUCAGCAAAGGACAAUUAAAAACAACCCUAGUGAGAAAUGGCUACCGUGGUGUGGAUACUUUGACUUUUGACACUGUUCAUAUUCUUGGUGUGAGCUCAAAGCCCAAUGUUAUUACCGUGAAUGGUAAAAUGAUCCAAAGCAAGAACUUCCACUAUCAUCCCAACGGGAAACUCACUUUACAGAUUUCUGAACUUCUUGCCCAGAAGCUGACUAUAACCCUUCAAUAGGAUAUUUGAAAAAUGCACAGUACUAAGGAAAUGAAAUGCUCAUUUCUCAUGCCUGUAAAAUCUCUGUCACAUUAAAAGCUUUCAUCCUCAUCGUGGUAUUUUCUGGGUAUAUUAUCACUCCUAAGACUUUUUCUCACACAAUUGCAUCAGGAGAAAACACCACAAAACCAGCACCUUCCUAAAGUAUGGAUGGGAUAAUAAAAUAAUACAAUAAGUAGUAUUAUGCCUUU